rnacentral:rRNA from 1 species
CAGCCGUAAACUAUGCGCGUUAGGUGUACUGGUGACCACGAGUCACCGGGGUGCCGAAGGGAAACCGUGAAACGUGCCGCCUGGGAAGUACGGUCGCAAGGCUGAAACUUAAAGGAAUUGGCGGGGGAGCACCCACAACGGGUGGAGCCUGCGGUUUAAUUGGACUCAACGCCGGAAAUCUCACCGGAUAGGACAGACAUAUGAUAGUCGGGCUGAAGACUCUACUUGAUGAUCUGAGAGGAGGUGCAUGGCGUCAGUGACU